rnacentral:rRNA from 1 species
GACGAACCGUGCAAACGUUAUUCGGAAUCACUGGGCUUAAAGCGCGUGUAGGCGGGCCGGCACGUCGGUCGCUGAAAUCCCCCGGCUCAACCGGGGAAGCGGCGCCGAUACGACCGGCCUGGAGGGGCGUAGGGGGACCUGGAACUUCCGGUGGAGCGGUGAAAUGCGUUGAGAUCGGAAGGAACGCCCGUGGCGAAAGCGAGGUCCUGGACGCCAUCUGACGCUGAGACGCGAAAGCCAGGGGAGCGAACGGG